rnacentral:misc_RNA from 1 species
GUGAAGAUUCAAGGGCCAGCCAUACAGACGUACAAUAAGUGUGUCUCUGGCGGCUCGCAUCCACUAUACAUCCAUAAACCCGUGUGCACUGUUCUAAGGAGUAAGAAAGAAGAAGAAGGGGGAGGGAGAGAGAGUGCAUGUGCUUUGCAUAUAACUCUCUCACUCUCCACUCUCUUUCU